GGCAGUUUAGCUUAGUGGUAAAGCACUUGAUGUGUAUUCACAGGGAUGUGAGUUCGAGUCUCAUGGCUGUCC
rnacentral:tRNA from 1 species